rnacentral:tRNA from 1 species
AAUCCGUCGAUUUCAAAAAUCAUGAGGGUCCAAGUCCCU